UAUACCGUGAAACUGCGAAUGGCUCAUUAAAUCAGUUAUCGUUUAUUUGAUAGUACCUUACUACUUGGAUAACCGUGGUAAUUCUAGAGCUAAUACAUGCUGAAAACCCCGACUCCGGAAGGGGUGUAUUUAUUAGAUAAAAAACAAAUGCCCUUCGGGGCUCCUUGGUGAUUCAUGAUAACUUCUCAGAUCGCAUGGCCUUGCGCCGGCGACGGUUCAUUCAAAUUUCUGCCCUAUCAACUUUCGAUGGUAAGGUAUUGGCUUACCAUGGUUUCAACGGGUAACGGGGAAUUAGGGUUCGAUUCCGGAGAGGGAGCCUGAGAAACGGCUACCACAUCCAAGGAAGGCAGCAGGCGCGCAAAUUACCCAAUCCCAACACGGGGAGGUAGUGACAAUAAAUACUGAUACAGGGCUCUUUUGGGUCUUGUAAUUGGAAUGAGUACAAUUUAAACCUCUUAACGAGGAACAAUUGGAGGGCAAGUCUGGUGCCAGCAGCCGCGGUAAUUCCAGCUCCAAUAGCGUAUAUUAAAGUUGUUGCAGUUAAAAAGCUCGUAGUUGAACCUUUGGCCUGGCUGGCAGGUCCGCCUCACCGCGUGCACUUGUCCGGCCGGGCCUUCUCUUCUGGAGAACCGCAUGCCCUUCACUGGGUGUGUUGGGGACCAAGACUUUUACUUUGAAAAAAUUAGAGUGUUCAAAGCAGGCCUUUGCUCGAAUACGUUAGCAUGGAAUAAUAGAAUAGGACGUGCGGUCCUAUUUUGUUGGUUUCUAGGACCGCCGUAAUGAUUAAUAGGGACAGUCGGGGGCAUCAGUAUUCAAUUGUCAGAGGUGAAAUUCUUGGAUUUAUUGAAGACUAACUACUGCGAAAGCAUUUGCCAAGGUGUUUUCAUUAAUCAGUGAACGAAAGUUAGGGGAUCGAAGACGAUCAGAUACCGUCGUAGUCUUAACCAUAAACUAUGCCGACUAGGGAUCGGGCGGUGUUAUUAUUUUGACUCGCUCGGCACCUUACGAG
rnacentral:rRNA from 1 species